CUUCUCUUCAUCUUCAGAUGUCCGUAUUCUGAAGCUUUAGUAGUCCUGCACAGGUAUGUUUUACAGCUAGUUAACCAUAUAUUUAAGGCUGUGAAAGAAAAUAGAAAAUGUUAUCAGUGUUUGUCACUGUGCCACUGUUUGCAAUUAUCUUAAAUAUGUGGGGGUUUUGGGGGUUUUUUUGUUUGUUUGGGGAUUUGUGUAUGUGUGUGUGUGUGUGUUUUGUUCUUUUGUUUUUUUUUUUUUAUUCUUACAAGAUUUCUUGUUUGUUCCUUCCUGCAGAUCUUACUCAUAGAGGAAAUCUGAUCUGCUGCAGCACGGAAACAUCAGCGGUGAGAUGGCGAGACAAAUUCCUUAGGGAGCUGCCUGACUGAGAGAGCUGAUCUGGUGCCACCAAGAAGAAUGCUUAAAGAAGGUCAGUGAAACUGUUUCUUCUUUACAAAUACAAGUACUUGCUCUUCAAAAGGUCCAAGAGUAGGAAAUAGUGCAACUCCUCCUCUAGGGCAUGCUCCUAGGGGAAGGAGCUUGCAUAUUCAACUCAGUCUUUGGAAAGUACUUAAAGGCUGAUCCAGCUCCUUCCUUGCUAGUUAGGUAGUAUGCUAGAACUAUGGUCUGGGCUGAGUU
rnacentral:lncRNA from 12 species